CGGUCGCAAGGCUGAAACUGUGCGCCAUUUCACGAUAUAUUAGGCCCGCGCCCCCAGAUCAAAAUGAUCAGGCAACAGGCGCCGUGCGAGUUGCAAAUCACGCACGUAAUGCUAGCAGCUCAUCCGACGCUAUAACCAAAAGCAAUCCGGCGAAAGCCUAGGGGAGUAUAGCAUGCUGCUAAACGGAGACACGGAUACAAGCACAUAUAUCGAGGCCGUCUUCGGAGCAACCAGUCGUUCAUAGGUUCUAUCUCUGAGUCUACUGCGGGUCUGCCUUCCCGAAGCAGUCAAACUGCUUAAGAGUAGGGGGUCUCCUCAGAGUUUCGGGGGAUCCCAUAAAGCAACCGCUCAUCAGAAACACCAAAGGUGUGCAAUGACUCGAACCUAAAAACGACACUGACCUAAAUAUCGGAACUUGGGGUCCCUGGUAUUCGCCGCCGGGGACGGAUGCCUGAUAGUAGCUUAACGCGCUAAGCAGGCAAGUAUCACUACUCCAUCAAGAACAUUCUGUACCCUCCCGGAGCAUCGUGUCUCUUAUGAUAGAAAUCAAGCCUCCGGAGAUAGGAGGAGUUUAUAAGUUCCAAAAAGAAAAAAAGAAGAGUUAUCAUGACAAAAUGCAAUUACGAGCAACUACUAGACCCCGAGAUAUUUAGGCUAGCUUACGAGCUAAAGAAAUCGAAAUCAGGCAAUAUGAAACCUGGUGCGGAUAAAGAAACUCUCGACGGUUUCUCCCAAGCCUAUGUUGAGAAGGUCGUCCGUCAACUAAAAGACGAAUCAUUUCAAUUCCGUCCGUCACGAAGAGAAUUCAUUCCUAAAGCAGACGGCAAGCUUCGUUCCCUGGGCAUACCAUCACCUAGAGACAAGAUAGUACAAGAGGUCAUGAGGAGGAUCCUUGAACCUGUAUUUGAACCGCGAUUCCUGGAUUCGUCUCACGGAUUUAGACCUCAUCGAUCACCGCACACGGCUCUACGACAAAUCCGUCGAUGGACAGGCACCUCCUGGAUGAUCGAAGGAGACAUCAAAGGAUACUUCGACAACAUCGAUCAUCACCUACUCGCGGGAUUCAUAGCAGAGUUGGUAAAGGACCAACGGCUUCUCGCCUAUCAACACGGUCGCCCGUAAACUGGGGCUUAACACAGCCAAAGUAAUAAAACGCUUCGGCGUGGACCUAAUCUUCCGGGACCACACGAAUGAGAUCAAGCAUAAGCUCAAUUUCCCGCGAUCCCUACCUAAUAAGCGCAUGAACUUCGCCUUGAGUCCGCCUUCGGACCCUAGAGUUCUAUUUGAUACAAGCUGCGCUCGCAUUCAGUGUUGAACGACCUGUGUCAAGUAUGCGGCUCCUACGAACAGGUGGAGAUGCACCACAUAAAAAGACUAAGCCGCGAUAACGCGGUUUCACUAGGUUGAUGGUCUAAUUGAAUCGUAAACAACUCCCGGUCUGCCGUAACUGUCAUAGGAAGAUUCAUAGAGGGGAAUACAACGGAAUGAGGCUGGAACGAUUACUCGCAAGGAACAAAAGACAUCUUGAUUAGUUAGUGACAGGGAGAGCCAUAUGCCGGGAAACUGGCACGUAUGGUUCGGAGGGAGGUAUAUGUCUUCCACAUGGGAGAUGGGUACCGACCCUACCAAAGGAAUUGACG
rnacentral:ncRNA from 1 species